GAUGAAGAACGCAGCGAAAUGCGAUAAGUAAUGUGAAUUGCAGAAUUCAGUGAAUCAUCGAAUCUUUGAACGCACAUUGCGCCCCUCGGUAUUCCGGGGGGCAUGCCUGUUCGAGCGUCAUUACACCACUCAAGCCUCGCUUGGUCUUGGGCGUCCGCGGUCCGCCGCGCGCCCCAAUGUCUCCGGCUGAGCCGUCCGUCUCUAAGCGUUGUGAUAAACUGUUCGCUUGCGAGGCCGGGCUGGCUUGUUUGCCGGUAAACCCCCCAUUUUUACAGGUUGACCUCGGAUCAGGUAGGGAUACCCGCUGAACUUAAGCAUAUCAAUAAGCGGAGGA
rnacentral:misc_RNA from 1 species